GGCCGUGGCUCAGUGGCAGAGAGCGUCCGCUUGGCGCGCGGAAGGCUGCGGGUUCAAUCCCAGGCAGGGUCG